CUUGGUAGUUAUAGCGCAGGUGAUACACCCGUUCCCAUCCCGAACACGGAAGUUAAGACCUGCAGCGCCGAUGGUACUGUGUGGGACAACUGCAUGGGAGAGUAGGUCACUGCCAAGU
rnacentral:rRNA from 1 species